rnacentral:rRNA from 1 species
UACGUAGGGUGCAAGCGUUAAUCGGAAUUACUGGGCGUAAAGCGUACGUAGGCGGUUAUUCAAGUCAGAGGUGAAAGCCCGGGGCUCAACCCCGGAACUGCCUUUGAAACUAGAUAACUAGAAUCUUGGAGAGGUCAGUGGAAUUCCGAGUGUAGAGGUGAAAUUCGUAGAUAUUCGGAAGAACACCAGUGGCGAAGGCGACUGACUGGACAAGUAUUGACGCUGAGGUACGAAAGCGUGGGGAGCAAACAGG